AWUUGACCUCAAAUCAGGUAGGACUACCCGCUGAACUUAAGCAUAUCAAUAAGCGGAGGAAAAGAAACUAACAAGGAUUCCCCUAGUAACUGCNAGUGAAGCGGGAAAAGCUCAAAUUUAAAAUCUGAGGGNCCUUGCGG
rnacentral:rRNA from 1 species